rnacentral:rRNA from 1 species
GUAGGGAAUAUUGCACAAUGGGCGAAAGCCUGAUGCAGCAACGCCGCGUGCACGAUGAAGGCCUUCGGGUCGUAAAGUGCUUUUCGGGGAGAUGAGGAAGGACAGUAUCCCCGGAAUAAGGCUCGGCUAACUACGUGCCAGCAGCCGCGGUAAAACGUAGGAGCCAAGCGUUAUCCGAAUUCACUGGGCGUAAAGCGCGAGCAGGCGGCAUGGUAAGUUGGAUGUGAAAUCUCCUGGCUCAACUGGGAGAGGACGUUCAAUACUGCCGAGCUAGAGGGCAGCAGAGGGAGGUGGAAUUCCCGGUGUAGUGGUGAAAUGCGUAGAUAUCGGGAGGAACACCAGAGGCGAAAGCGGCCUCCUGGGCUGUGCCUGACGCUGAGAUGCGACAGCUAGGGGAGCGAACGGGAUUAGAUACCCCAGUAGUCC